rnacentral:rRNA from 1 species
CCUACGGGAGACAGCAGUGAGGAAUAUUGGUCAAUGGCCGCAAGGCUGAACCAGCCAAGUCGCGUGAGGGAAGAAGGACCUAUGGUUUGUAAACCUCUUUUGUCGGGGAAUAAAGGUAUCCACGUGUGGCUUUUUGCGUGUACCUUAUGAAUAAGCAUCGGCUAACUCCGUGCCAGCAGCCGCGGUAAUACGGAGGAUGCGAGCGUUAUCCGGAUUUAUUGGGUUUAAAGGGUGCGUAGGUUGUUUUUUAAGUCAGCGGUGAAAGUUUGGGGCUCAACCCCAAACUUGCCGUUGAAACUGGAGGCCUUGAGUGUGUGUGAGGUAGGCGGAAUGCGUGGUGUAGCGGUGAAAUGCAUAGAUAUCACGCAGAACUCCGAUUGCGAAGGCAGCAUAC